rnacentral:sRNA from 1 species
UGUCUACUUUUGCAAACUGAAAGAAAAGGAUAGUAACUUUGAGUCUUAUAUUUGCAGACUGUUGCUUAUAGGUAAUAUCUAUUUUUAAUUACAGCAGACAGUGAGCAAGCUGACAUUGCGAGGAUGCUAUAUAAAGACACAUGUCAUGAGCUGGAUGAACUGCAGCUUUGCAAGAAUUGCUUUUACUUGUCAAAUGCUCGUCCUGACAACUGGUUCUGUUAUCCUUGUAUACCUAAUCAUGAACUGGUUUGGGCUAAAAUGAAAGGUUUUGGGUUUUGGCCAGCCAAAGUCAUGCAGAAAGAAGACAAUCAAGUCGACGUUCGCUUCUUUGGCCACCACCACCAGAGGGCCUGGAUUCCUUCUGAAAACAUUCAAGAUAUCACAGUCAACAUUCAUCGGCUGCACGUGAAGCGCAGUAUGGGUUGGAAAAAGGCCUGUGAUGAGCUGGAGCUGCAUCAGCGUUUCCUACGAGAAGGGAGAUUUUGGAAAUCUAAGAAUGAGGACCGAGGUGAGGAAGAGGCAGAAUCCAGUAUCUCCUCCACCAGUAAUGAGCAGGUGAGUGCGUCUCAGGAAGGAAGUGC